CCUACGGGAGGCAGCAGUGGGGAAUAUUGCACAAUGGGGGAAACCCUGAUGCAGCGACGCCGCGUGAGUGAAGAAGUAUCUCGGUAUGUAAAGCUCUUUCAGCAGGGAAGAAAAUGACGGUACCUGACUAAGAAGCCCCGGCUAACUACGUGCCAGCAGCCGCGGUAAGACGUAGGGGGCAAGCGUUAUCCGGAUUUACUGGGUGUAAAGGGAGCGUAGGCGGCGCUGCAAGUCCGGAGUGAAAGCCCAGGGCUUAACCAUGGUACUGCUCUGGAAACUGUGGAGCUUGAGUGGGGGAGGGGCAGGCGGAAUGCCUGGUGUAGCGGUGAAAUGCGUAGAUAUUAGGAGGAACACCGACGGCGAAGGCGGCCUGCUGGACCGUAACUGACGUUGAGGCACGAAAGCGUGGGGAGCAAACAGGAUUAGAUACCCGAGUAGUC
rnacentral:rRNA from 1 species